rnacentral:rRNA from 1 species
CCUACGGGGGGCAGCAGUGAGGAAUAUUGGUCGAUGGACGAGAGUCUGAACCAGCCAAGUAGCGUGAAGGAUGACUGCCCUAUGGGUUGUAAACUUCUUUUAUAUGGGAAUAAAAUGUUCCACGUGUGGGAUUUUGUAUGUACCAUAUGAAUAAGGAUCGGCUAACUCCGUGCCAGCAGCCGCGGUAAUACGGAGGAUCCGAGCGUUAUCCGGAUUUAUUGGGUUUAAAGGGAGCGUAGGUGGAUUGUUAAGUCAGUUGUGAAAGUUUGCGGCUCAACCGUAAAAUUGCAGUUGAAACUGGCAGUCUUGAGUACAGUAGAGGUGGGCGGAAUUCGUGGUGUAGCGGUGAAAUGCUUAGAUAUCACGAAGAACUCCGAUUGCGAAGGCAGUUCACUGGACUGCAACUGACACUGAGGCUCGAAAGUGUGGGUAUCAAACAGGAUUAGAUACCCUUGUAGUC